UACAGAGGGGGCAAGCGUUAUUCGGAAUUAUUGGGCGUAAAGGGCGCGUAGGCGGCUUGGCAAGUGGAAGGUGAAAUCCCUCGGCUUAACCGAGGAACUGCCCUCCAAACUGCUUUGCUUGAGGCCGGGAGAGGCGAGUGGAAUUCCCAGUGUAGCGGUGAAAUGCGUAGAUAUUGGGAGGAACACCAGUGGCGAAGGCGGCUCACUGGACCGGAACUGACGCUGAUGCGCGAAAGCGUGGGGAGCAAACGGGG
rnacentral:rRNA from 1 species